UCCAAUCCAUUAAAUAAAGCCACAUGUUAUCUGAAUUGCAUUCAAGUUAAGGAGAGUGACAUUUGGUCAAGAAAUUACACAAUGCACAAUUCAGAAAUUAAAUUGCACAUCUAUGCAACAUAAUUAAUAAUCAAAUAUACAGUGAAGGAAAAAAAGUAUUUGAUUCUCUGCUGAUUUUGAAUGUUUGCCCACUGACAAAGAAAUGACCAACGGCAAAGCGGCGAUGCGAUGGCAAAGUAGCUUGGUGAGAAGGUGACAAUAGUUGGUGCGAUUAUUCGCAAAUGGAAGAAACACAAAAUAAAUAACUGUCAGUCUCCCUCAGUCUGGUCUCCAUGCAAUAUCUCACCUUGUGGAGUUUCAAUGAUAAUGAGAACGGGGAGGAAUCAGCCCAGAACUACACGGGAGGAUCUUGUUAAUGAUCUUAAGGCAGCUAGGACAAUAGUCACCAAGAAAACAAUUGAUAAUACACUACAGCGUGAAGGACUGAAAUCCUGCAGUGCCCACAAGGUCCCCUGCUCAAGAAAGCACAUGUACAGGCCCGUUUGAAGUUUGCCAAUGAACAUCUGAAUGAUUCAGAGGAGAACUGUGUGAAAGUGUUGUGGUCAGAUGAGACCAAAAUUUAGCUCUUUGGCAUCAACUCAACUUGUUUAGAGGAGGAGGAAUGCUGCCUAUGACUCCAAGAACACCAUCUCCACCGUCAAACAUGGAGUUGGAAAAAUUAUGCUUUGGGAGUAUUUUUCUGCUAACAGGACAGGACAACUGCACCGCAUGAAAGGGAUGAUGGACAGGGCCAUGUACCAUAAAAUUUUGGGUGAGAAUCUCCUUCCCUCAGCUUUAAUAAGCUUUCCAAAUUAUUAAAUACUGUUUGAAAACUCUCCAAAUUAUUUAUCUACAGAAGUAACAAUUAAAGUCUAUGGGAAUAUUUGUAGAUAAACCAUUUGUAAUUUUUUUCCAACAGUAUUGAAUCAUGUGGAAAGCUUAUUAAAUUAAGGACAUAGAUGGAUGCAUAAGUGGUUUUUAAGUUGCUGAUAGUCUAGCGCUAGAAUUAGUUCCAUUAUGUGCCAAGAUAAGUUCAUGAAGGAGAGCAGAGAUAUUACUUAGAUUAUUAAAACAAUACUUGGUCUUUCAAGUACAUUUCUGGGGACGAUCUCUUACAGGGACCCAAAAUCCAAAAACAUCUGCAUUUUCUGUUUAUGUAACUGCAAACCAGUUCAUGAUUUUCUUUCAAAUCUAAGCUGAUGUCUUGUGUCUGAAAACUCCAGAAACUGGUAAUCUAAAACAGUGAAUGCUAACUCCUGAGUCUGGACUCAAAGUUGGGUUCCAUGCAGUUUUAUAGUUUCACAAUACUGGGAUAAAAAAACACUAUAUUCAUCCGGGUCCUGGUUACUGCUCACAGCAAAUUGUCUUAUUGGAUCAAUACUGCAUUUUUCAGUGGUAUGCUCCUCCCCUCCACCCCCCAUCGGAAAGGUCUAAUGAAAAUGCUUUUGUAAAGUUUAUUUUAGUGUUUAUCAUAUUAAACUAUAAGUAAGCCCUCCCCAGCCUAUGUUAUAAUUGACCUGAUACACAGUCAGGCUACAAAAAAGUUGUAAUAGAUUCACACAAUAAAAAUAUACACACUAUUGUUUUGUAUUUUCUGUUUGUGUUGUCAGCAGAUCCUGUGUUAGUUAAACAAA